rnacentral:lncRNA from 1 species
CCCUCCUCCCUGCCGGUGCUCCCGGUGCCCGCCGCCGUCUCUGCCCGGCUUCCCUGUCACGGUGGCCGAGCCGCUCGCUUCCUUUCCCCACAGGUCGCGGGCCACGGCCUCCUCCUCUACGGAUGAUUGAUUUGGUAUGCCCUGCUCUUGCUCUGAAGAUCACUGCUUGGAUGCUAGUGGAAUCGAUUUCAUUUUGUCCAUGUCAAAAUUAUUAGGACGAGAGGUAAGAUGAGCUUGCGAAUUUCAAGGUGAUUGGGGCUUUGCUAGGCACAAGUGCCAGAUCUUGUUGGAAUCUGUCCAUCUGGUACGAGCUUAGUGAUAGAUUGGCGAAUCAUUGUGUGCAUCGUCUUGUGUUUAAUACUGUAGAACUUUGCACAACUGACUUUUAAAAGAGGAUUUCGACCGAGCAACCGUCACAUGUGAAUCGAAUUUUGUGAUGGGUGGCUAUUGUUAAUUAGUGCGUUCUUGGUCUGUAGAUAUGGACUGCUAGGAGAGGAUGGCUGCUCGUCAGAUAUGCUGCUCAACUUUUGAGAUGACAACAAUACCGGACUUGAUGCGAUGAUAUCUAUGUAAAACAAUCCUGGGCUUUAUGUUUAUGCAAAACAAUUUUGGUUGCACACUGGUUGAUUCUGGAAUCGGACCCCCGUGUGGAGCCUGUACGUCCUAUGUGUUUUUGUAGCUUCUUCACCAAGUCUCGCCAAACAGCAUUAUACAAACUCAUUUCCAGCCUUGGCUAACUCCAAUCCUGUGUGUGUUUGUUUGUUAAUUUACAGUUGUACUGAACUGUAGCAAAGCAGGGGAUCAUUUGUGUGAGUUGUACUGAACCGUGGCAAAGAUGAGCCCUUUGUCUUUUCUUGUUGUAGCUUCAUACAUACACCAUCUUGACCUUAAAGUUAAACUCACUAGUAUAUGCUUUUGCCAAAGCAUUUCUCUUUUACCUUUUUUCAGGGUUUCUCAAGCAAUUAUGUUUUGUUGGUUGCUUAAUUAUGAAGUGGCUAUAGCUAUAUUGGAAAACUCCUAUGCUUCAUCACUUCUUUUUUAUCCAAAAUCUCUGGCACUUAAACUCUGUUUUUCCACAUAAAAACUGUAUGUUAUACACCCACUAUGAUUCUUACUGGAUGCUAUGAACCACUCUCACUCUUGACUUCACUUCCAUUUUGUGCAGUUGGACUGAAGCAUUGAUGACCCUCGAAUCAUAAUUCGGGUUCUCCUUGUUCUUCUAACCACCCUGACAAUGCAACAUCUUGCUCAAAGCUUUUAUUUCUACUUUUCUUUUCUUUUCACACACUCCUUGUGCCAAAGGUGUUGAUGUGAAUGCCGACAAACAAGCCCAAAUUGAUUUGUUUGAUCUUAAGAUAGUUAGUUUUAUCUUAUGGCUCUUUAAAUAGUUUACCAGAUAUUGAUAUACAUGAAAAAAUAUUCUGGACUUGAUGGAUAUGUCCAGCAAGUUCUUUGUGUUUGUACUUUGUAUGUACACUUAGGCUGACACUGGGUGUGGUGGACUGUGUCAUCCUUUGUGUUUUUGUAGCUCAUGUAGAGCAAGUUCCCACACAACAAUAUACAAGAGAAUAUGGAUUUCCGGUGGUACAUUGAGUUGUUUCACUGGUGGCUAGUAAAAUACCACUACAAACAUGUUACAGGCGGAUGUUUUUCCAGGGUUGCCAAGCUGGGUCCCUAGGUUGUUCAGCUUAACAUACGAUGUAAUUCAUCUCUGUAGGAAUCAAUUCAGUUGACGAUUGGUGUAGAUGGCUGCUCUGAUUGGGCACUUGGAAGUUGGGAAACAUGGGUAAAUUUCAAUUUGGCUUUCAAACUGGGGUAUGAUAUAGAUCGUAAUUGCCCAUGUCAUCAUGAUGUUAGUUAAUUUUCAGUGCCAAUUGUUUGCACUUCUCUACUGUGUGAUUAUCAUUUUCCUGGCCCUGUUGUCAGUGCAAUACUUUGAUUCGGUCAAACAGGUUCAGUGUGUGGAUAUUAUUACGUAGUUUCUCUUCAGAUAGAGGUUUAUGCUGUUUCAUUACAAUUCAUGGUGUCUUGUCCUAUCAAAGUAGAGUACUAGCUGCAGGAUUGUGUAAGUUUAACGUCCAUUAACUGUAGUGUAUGUGCACAAUAAAUGGAUAAUUUUCCCUGCAAUCGUGAAAACUUCCGCUUGAUAUGCAUUGCUGCUAUCAUGUGGACAGUGCGGAGAACUUGUAGUGGCACUUGUUUUGACAAUAGGAUGCCUUCUGGUCCCACAAUUGCCAUAUACUCUAUUUGCCAGUGGAUUGAAUGCUGAAAUGAUUUGCAGGAACAAAAGUUGCUCCAGGUCCAGGAUGGUCCCUGACAAGGCGAAAAAACAGAGCAGUUCUAGAUUCAUGAAGAUGGUGGCCUUGGAGGUUUUCUGAAGAGCUAAAGGAUGGAAAACAGUUGGGAUAAAAGUAGCUUUGGUGCCUGCACCGGUAGUAUAUGAUGCUAGCUUUUGCUGUCUUAGCUGCUGGAUUUCGAUGAUUUUGCAAGCUUGAUGUGAUUAUGCAAACUGUUAGGAUCUGAGUCUAAACUCCAGCACCUUUUCUUGCCUUUUUUUUGGCUUUCGUUGUGUUUUUAGUUCAGCAUUGUACUCUGUCAUGUUUCGUUAAUUCAGCUGGGUGCAAGGCCUCUGUAUAAUGAUAAUAAUAAAAUAUAAGAUUUCUUUUUGUAUAAAAAAGAGUUUAUGCUUUCAAUUAUUAUAUUAUCAAUUCUUGCUUCUUCUCAUGCUUUACCGUCAGUAGAUUACUUGACGUUUAAGAGAGCAUUUGAG